AGGAAGUGCUGCUUUGUGUAGAGUAGAAAGUUUCUUUGGUGAUGUUACUGAUGUGCAGCUCUAUGAUUAAAAAGUGAUUUUUUAUGCAAUGAUGGAUAAAUAUGGAACAUGAUUUGUAUGCUGGGGCGAAAGGACAACGGUGGAUUGGAGGCAGAAAAACAGCCGCUCACCAUUUCUGUUCACUCUGGUGAAAGAUGAGCAACGAGAAGGCAGGGAGGGGGAUGGAGAGAUAACAAGAGUGAAGGGGAGAGAGACCUGCUUGGUAUUCACCUGUCUCACUGGAUCAAUAAAG